rnacentral:rRNA from 1 species
AUUGAACGCUGGCGGCAUGCCUUACACAUGCAAGUCGAACGGCAGCACGGGGGCAACCCUGGUGGCGAGUGGCGAACGGGUGAGUAAUACAUCGGAACGUGUCCUUUCGUGGGGGAUAACCAGUCGAAAGACUGGCUAAUACCGCAUGAGAUCUCACGAUGAAAGCGAGGGACCGCAAGGGCUCGCGCGAUUGGAGCGGCCGAUGUCGGAUUAGCUAGUUGGCGGGGUAAAAGCCCACCAAGGCGACGAUCCGUAGCUGGUUUGAGAGAACGACCAGCCACACUGGGACUGAGACACGGCCCAGACUCCUACGGGAGGCAGCAGUGGGGAAUUUUGGACAAUGGGCGCAAGCCUGAUCCAGCCAUGCCGCGUGUGUGAAGAAGGCCUUCGGGUUGUAAAGCACUUUCGGCCGGAACGAAAUCGCGCGGGUUAACAGUCCGCGUGGAUGACGGUACCGGAAGAAGAAGCACCGGCUAACUACGUGCCAGCCGCCGCCGUAACAC